CUCUUAUUAGCUUAAUGGUAGAGCUAGAUACUUCUAAUAUUUAGACCUAAGUUCGAAUCUUAGAUAAGAGU
rnacentral:tRNA from 7 species